GUGAAAAGAAAAACACUUAAAUUUUGGGAAUAAACCUGAGGACUCAAGUCUUAAUGAUCAAGGGAGAUUUCGCAAAUCAUGCAAUGAAAUAUGGUUCGGAAUAAAAUUAAUCUUCGUGAAAUUAAGCAGAUCUGGAUAGCAGUAAAUAACAGACAGAAUGCUCAGGUUUUCAACUACGGCUACAUACAAACUAAGGAGGAGAACAAAUGAGAUGAGGAGGAUGAGGCGUGGUUUAUUUUUUUCAUUAUGAUUAUUUUUUUUUUGACAGCAUGUUCUAGCGGUUAAUGAACGGACUUCUCAAUUUUAUUUUAGUUUAAGAAGA
rnacentral:lncRNA from 1 species